CUCCUCCCUCAGAGGCUCGAGGCUGGGAACCAGCGCCCAAGGCCGGCCACCUCCGCUUGUAGAGCGCGAUCCAGACGAAAUCCGACGAGCAGAGGCCGCGCCAGAACCUCGAACAGCUUCCCAACGAGCAAACAUCUGCGACCUCGAGAUAGGAUACGACGUUGAGGGCGACAUCCACGGGGAGGGAAUUCGAGCUCAGCUCCGAUCUCGAAUUCCCAGGAUUCGGCACCGGCGCUGCCUCCAUUCCGAUCUUUCCCUCGAGAUGAGAAUGCCCCCUCCUCAAGUGUGAUAGGGAAGGAAAUGGGAACAGGUCUCGUGCAAUGGUCUCGUUUAGGAUGACACGUUUCGUGGGCGUAUUCUUUUUUCUUUUUUUUUUUAAAGUACAACGGGGACUCACACAGGACAUGCAUGAGAACAUCCAGAAAGAUCACAAAAAAUUAGAUGAUAGAUGGCGGCAGGAGUGGACCAAUACCCUCCCAAAAAGAAGGAUACGAAUGGUGCGUAACACUGGAAGCCACCAAAUCAGCGGUACUAUUCUCUUUUCGAAAAACAUAAGUGGUCUGAAAGGAGGCCAGCUCUUUUAUGAGUCUACAAAUAUUUUGAAGCAGCGGAUACCAAUCGGCUGGCUAGGUUCGUUCUGAAUUUAGUCGAUCAUCGUGGUCGAAUCAUCUACAAGAUGAACAUAAUCCGCACCCAGACGCAGCUUAGCAUGGGUGAUUUCUUUCCAUGCACCUUACAGACCUACAA